rfam:Cerapachys biroi unplaced genomic scaffold scaffold490, whole genome shotgun sequence.
AUCGCUUCUCGGCUCUUUGAGCUAAGAUCAAAAGUGUAGUAUCUGUUCUUAUCAGCUUAAUAUCUGAUACAAUCCCCAUCGGGGAUUCAGAAUAUUAAACUGCUUUUUGAAAGUUGGUGGGAAGCCGGAGCUUGCUCCGAUCCUGCCAUGGGUCAACCCGGUCUUGCAGUACCACCGGGAAUGGCCCCUCCUUA